UACGUAGGGGGCAAGCGUUGUCCGGAAUCAUUGGGCGUAAAGAGCGCGUAGGCGGCCCUGUAAGUCCGCUGUGAAAGUCAAGGGCUCAACCCUUGGAUGCCGGUGGAUACUGCAGGGCUAGAGUCCGGAAGAGGCGAGUGGAAUUCCUGGUGUAGCGGUGAAAUGCGCAGAUAUCAGGAAGAACACCAAUGGCGAAGGCGGCUCACUGGCCCGGUACUGACGCUGAGGUGCGAAAGCGUGGGGAGCAAACAGG
rnacentral:rRNA from 1 species